rnacentral:rRNA from 1 species
GAUGAACGCUGGCGGCGUGCCUAAUACAUGCAAGUCGAACGCUGGAGAUCUAGCUUGCUAGAUCGAAGGAGUGGCGAACGGGUGAGUAAUACAUAAGCAACCUACCCACGAAGACUGGGAUAAUCUCUGGAAACGGGGACUAAUACCGGAUAGGUAAUCGGAAGGCAUCUUCUGGUUAUUAAAGGUUAAAAACACUGGUGGAUGGGCUUAUGGCGCAUUAGUUAGUUGGUGAGGUAACGGCCCACCAAGACGAGGAUGCGUAGCCGGCCUGAGAGGGUGAACGGCCACAUUGGGACUGAGACACGGCCCAGACUCCUACGGGAGGCAGCAGUAGGGAAGUGUCGGCAAUGGGGGCAACCCUGACCGAGCAACGCCGCGUGAGUGAAGACGGCCUUCGGGUUGUAAAGCUCUGUUGUAAGGGAAGAACGGUAGAUAGAGAAUAUCUAAGUGACGGUACCUUACCAGAAAGCCACGGCUAACUACGUG